rnacentral:tRNA from 1 species
GCCUUCGUGGUGUAACGGUAGCACGCUGGACCAGUAUUCCAGAGGUCCGUGGUUCGAUUCCCGGCGAAGGCG